CUAGCGUUGUUCGGAAUUACUGGGCGUAAAGCGCACGUAGGCGGAUUUGUAAGUCAGGGGUGAAAUCCCGGGGCUCAACCUCGGAACUGCCUUUGAUACUGCAAAUCUCGAGUCCGAUAGAGGUGGGUGGAAUUCCUAGUGUAGAGGUGAAAUUCGUAGAUAUUAGGAAGAACACCGGUGGCGAAGGCGGCCCACUGGAUCGGUACUGACGCUGAGGUGCGAAAGCGUGGGGAGCAAACAGG
rnacentral:rRNA from 1 species